rnacentral:rRNA from 1 species
AUUGAACGCUGGCGGCAUGCCUUACACAUGCAAGUCGAACGGCAGCACGGGAGCAAUCCUGGUGGCGAGUGGCGAACGGGUGAGUAAUAUAUCGGAACGUGCCCAGUCGUGGGGGAUAACGUAGCGAAAGCUACGCUAAUACCGCAUACGAUCUAUGGAUGAAAGCGGGGGAUCGGAAGACCUCGCGCGAUCCGCGCGCCCGUUGUCAGAGUAGGUAGUUGGUGGGGUAAAGGCUCACCAAGCCGACGAUCUGUAGGUGGUCUGAGAGGACGACCAGCCACACUGGGACUGAGACACGGCCCAGACUCCUACGGGAGGCAGCAGUGGGGAAUUUUGGACAAUGGGCGCAAGCCUGAUCCAGCAAUGCCGCGUGCAGGAUGAAGGCCUUCGGGUUGUAGACUGCUUUUGUACGGAGCGAAAAGGCUCUCUCUAAUACAGGGGGCUCAUGACGGUACCGUAAGAAUAAGCACCGGCUAACUACGUGCCAGCCGCCGCCGUAA